rnacentral:tRNA from 4 species
UCCCCGGUAGCUCAGUUGGUAGAGCGUUCGGCUGUUAACCGAAUGGUCGCAGGUUCGAGUCCUGCCCGGGGAGCCA